rnacentral:rRNA from 1 species
ACGGGUGAGUAAUGUCUGGGGAUCUGCCCGAUAGAGGGGGAUAACCACUGGAAACGGUGGCUAAUACCGCAUAACGUCGCAAGACCAAAGAGGGGGACCUUCGGGCCUCUCACUAUCGGAUGAACCCAGAUGGGAUUAGCUAGUAGGCGGGGUAAUGGCCCACCUAGGCGACGAUCCCUAGCUGGUCUGAGAGGAUGACCAGCCACACUGGAACUGAGACACGGUCCAGACUCCUACGGGAGGCAGCAGUGGGGAAUAUUGCACAAUGGGCGCAAGCCUGAUGCAGCCAUGCCGCGUGUAUGAAGAAGGCCUUCGGGUUGUAAAGUACUUUCAGCGGGGAGGAAGGCGAUGGGGUUAAUAACCGCGUCGAUUGACGUUACCCGCAGAAGAAGCACCGGCUAACUCCGUGCCAGCAGCCGCGGUAAUACGGAGGGUGCAAGCGUUAAUCGGAAUUACUGGGCGUAAAGCGCACGCAGGCGGUCUGUUAAGUCAGAUGUGAAAUCCCCGGGCUUAACCUGGGAACUGCAUUUGAAACUGGCAGGCUUGAGUCUUGUAGAGGGGGGUAGAAUUCCAGGUGUA